GGGGAAUCUUGCGCAAUGGGCGAAAGCCUGACGCAGCGACGCCGCGUGGGGGAUGAAGGCCUUCGGGUCGUAAACCUCUUUCGGCAGGGACGAAGUUGACGUGUACCUGCAGAAGAAGCGCCGGCUAACUACGUGCCAGCAGCCGCGGUAAUACGUAGGGCGCGAGCGUUGUCCGGAAUUACUGGGCGUAAAGAGCUCGUAGGCGGCCGGUCGCGUCUGCCGUGAAAGCCCACGGCUCAACCGUGGGACUGCGGUGGAUACGGGCCGGCUAGAGGCAGGCAGGGGCAAGUGGAAUUCCUGGUGUAGCGGUGAAAUGCGCAGAUAUCAGGAGGAACACCGGUGGCGAAGGCGGCUUGCUGGGCCUGUCCUGACGCUGAGGAGCGAAAGCGUGGGGAGCGAAC
rnacentral:rRNA from 1 species